GGGGGGGGGGGGGGGGGGGGGGGGGGGGGGGGGGGCGGGGGGAAGGGGCGGGCGGGUGGGGGGGGGGCGAGGGGGGAAGGGGGGAGGAACACGGGAGUAACCGGCCCGUGACGUUGGGAGAACUGCAGGAAACGGGGGCUCAUAGCGGAGAGGAGCUCCUGCGGCAGGGGGGGGGGUGGAAAGUGUCGGCGGUUGGGGAUGGACUCGCGGCUUAUCAGCUUGUUGGUGGGGUAGUGGCUUACCAAGGCUUUGACGGGUAGCCGGCCUGAGAGGGUGACCGGCCACAUUGGGACUGCGAUACGGCCCAGCCUCCUACGGUAGGCAGCAGUGGGGAAUCUUGCACAAUGGGCGGAAGCCUGAUGCAGCAACGCCGCGUUCGGGAUGACGGCCUUCGGGUUGUAAACCGCUUUCGCCUGUGACGAAGCGUGAGUGACGGUAAUGGGUAAAGAAGCACCGGCUAACUACGUG
rnacentral:rRNA from 1 species